AUAAAGGCCCGAGCGAGACGAAGAAGUAAGUUGCCUGAUUUCUUUCCAGAAUAAGCGAAGGACUUCAGGCUAAGCUGGGAGUGAGAUUGGACUGGUGCUGAUGGGGGAGAGUUUCAAAUGAUGUAAAUUAAAUUACUAUUUUGCCUCUAUGAUAAUAGAGUCUUGAUGUUUGAAUUACUUAGUUUCUUUUGAGAUCAAGCAAUACACUCACGGUUAUGUGUCUUCAUACAUAUAAUCGGUUCGCC